GCUUGCACAAGAUGACGACCGGCGCACGGGGCGCACCGCGUAUGGAACCUGCCUUGUACAGGGGAAUAGCCCAGGGAAACUUGGAUUAAUGCCCCGUAGUACCGUGGCCCGGCAUCGGGAUACGGUUAAAGCCUUCGGGCGGUACAAGAUGGCCAUGCGUCCCAUUAGCUAGUUGGUAAGGUAACGGCUUACCAAGGCUACGAUGGGUAGGGGCCCUGAGAGGGGGAUCCCCCACACUGGUACUGAGACACGGACCAGACUCCUACGGGAGGCAGCAGUGAGGAAUAUUGGACAAUGGAGGAGACUCUGAUCCAGCCAUGCCGCGUGCAGGAAGAAUGCCCUAUGGGUAGUAAACUGCUUUUAUACGGGAAGAAAAAGAGCUACGUGUAGCUUACUGACGGUACCGUAAGAAUAAGGACCGGCUAACUCCGUGCCAGCAGCCGCGGUAAUACGGAGGGUCCGAGCGUUAUCCGGAAUUAUUGGGUUUAAAGGGUCCGUAGGCGGGCCGAUAAGUCAGGGGUGAAAGUCUGCCGCUCAACGGUAGAACUGCCUUUGAUACUGUCGGUCUUGAGUUAUAGUGAAGUUGCCGGAAUAUGUAGUGUAGCGGUGAAAUGCAUAGAUAUUACAUAGAACACCGAUUGCGAAGGCAGGUGACUAACUAUAUACUGACGCUGAUGGACGAAAGCGUGGGGAGCGAACAGGAUUAGAUACCCUGGUAGUCCACGCCGUAAACGAUGGAUACUAGCUGUCCGGAGCCUUGAGUUCUGGGCGGCCAAGCGAAAGUGAUAAGUAUCCCACCUGGGGAGUACGUUCGCAAGAAUGAAACUCAAAGGAAUUGACGGGGGCCCGCACAAGCGGUGGAGCAUGUGGUUUAAUUCGAUGAUACGCGAGGAACCUUACCAGGGCUUAAAUGCAUAUUGACAGGUCUAGAGAUAGAUUUUCCUUCGGGCAAUUUGCAAGGUGCUGCAUGGUUGUCGUCAGCUCGUGCCGUGAGGUGUCAGGUUAAGUCCUAUAACGAGCGCAACCCCUACCGUUAGUUGCCAGCAUGUCAUGAUGGGGGACUCUAACGGGACUGCCGGUGCAAACCGUGAGGAAGGUGGGGAUGACGUCAAAUCAUCACGGCCCUUACGUCCUGGGCCACACACGUGCUACAAUGGCAGGUACAGAGAGCAGCCACGUCGCAAGGCGGAGCGAAUCUAUAAAACCUGUCACAGUUCGGAUCGGGGUCUGCAACUCGACCCCGUGAAGCUGGAAUCGCUAGUAAUCGGAUAUCAGCCAUGAUCCGGUGAAUACGUUCCCGGGCCUUGUACACUCCGCCCGUCAAGCCAUGGAAGCCGGGAGUGCCU
rnacentral:rRNA from 1 species